GUGUAUAUAAUGCAGUGUGUUUGUAUAGUGUGCAUUAUAUAAACACUACACAAACACACUGCAUUAUAUACAC
rnacentral:miRNA from 1 species